UACGGAGGGGGCUAGCGUUGUUCGGAAUUACUGGGCGUAAAGCGCGCGUAGGCGGACCUGCAAGUCGGGGGUGAAAGCCCGAGGCUCAACCUCGGAACUGCCUUCGAUACUGCGGGUCUCGAGUCCGGGAGAGGUGAGUGGAAUUCCUAGUGUAGAGGUGAAAUUCGUAGAUAUUAGGAAGAACACCAGUGGCGAAGGCGGCUCACUGGCCCGGUACUGACGCUGAGGCACGAAGGCCAGGGGAGCAAACGGG
rnacentral:rRNA from 1 species